rnacentral:rRNA from 1 species
UACAGAGGGUGCGAGCGUUAAUCGGAAUUACUGGGCGUAAAGCGUGCGCAGGCGGUUCGCUAAGACAGAUGUGAAAUCCCCGGGCUUAACCUGGGAACUGCAUUUGUGACUGGCGGGCUAGAGUAUGGCAGAGGGGGGGUAGAAUUCCACGUGUAGCAGUGAAAUGCGUAGAGAUGUGGAGGAAUACCGAUGGCGAAAGGCAGCCCCCUGGGCCAAUACUGACGGCUCAUGCACCGAAAGCGUGGGGAGCAAACAGG